GACAGAGGUGCCGAGCGUUAGGCGGAAUCACUGGGCUUAAAGCGUGUGUAGGCGGGUCGUUAAGUGUCUUGUGAAAUCCCACCGCUCAACGGUGGAACGGCUGGGCAUACUGGCGACCUUGAGGGACCCAGGGGCGAGCGGAACAGCGGUGGAGCGGUGAAAUGCGUAGAUAUCGGAAGGAACGCCGGUGGCGAAAGCGGUCUGCUGGACCUCUUCUGACGCUGAGGCGCGAAAGCCAGGGGAGCAAACGGG
rnacentral:rRNA from 1 species